rnacentral:tRNA from 1 species
UUAUAGUGGCAGACAAAUGCCUUAGCUUUAAGCGCUAAUUAUAAGAUUCUUCUAUUUC